ACACUAAACACGAUGGUAGAAUUUUAUGGUCAAUACUAUCAUCAAAGUAUAGUAAAAAGCUCUAAAAUACUUCAAUAGUAAUGAAUACUACCUUUUAUUAUUAUAAAUAGGAUAUAAA